rnacentral:tRNA from 1 species
GCCGACGUGGCUCAGUGGUAGAGCAGCUCACUCGUAAUGAGCAGGUCCGCGGUUCGAAUCCGCGCGUCGGCUCCA